UAGCUAUGUGAUCCCCCAGUACCCUGCCUGUAGGAUCCGUUUGUUGAAUGAAUAUUCAAACAUUGUCUAGUCAAUUCACAUUUCUUUAUUUCUUUGCAUGUUCUCCAACCCUAGAGUGAGAAAUCAUAGCCAUGGCAUUAUUUUAAAUUUUCUAUCGCUAGUUUCGCCACCAGCUGGAGCCACCAACAGGGUCAGCUCUACCCUUGUCUCCUUCCUGGUGGAGGCCACCCUGCAGCGCCAGUGCAGCCACUGAGAGCUGGGAGCUGCCCUCUCCACAGCGGUCCCCGGCUGAGGCGACCCGUCAACCCUCCUGUGCCCCAAGCCCUUGCAUUCAGCAGCUCUUUUGAGGACCUUAUCUACAUCUCACGAGGUAAGAUUCCUCAGCAGUCUUCCUUUACAUGAUUUUCUUAACGAUUUUAGACAUGUGCUCUCCCACAUCAGUUCUAAGAUCGUCUUAUCUAAUUUUGGAACAAUAAACAAAACAAGAGGAUUCUUGGGAUAUUUUUAAAUCUCCCAUCAUGGCUGUAUUUUGAAAUCAAGUUCUCGCGUGGCUAAUUGUUUUUGCUUGUUACACUUAGCUACUGUAUUCCUAGAUGUAUAUAAGUUUGUGACAUAAUUGGGUCAACCUUGCCUCAUAGUAAUACUCCUAUUUCUGCUUUCUUGUUUAUAGAUUUGCAUUUGUACUUUUUUUUUUUUUUUUUGCUUUCCUUCUUUUCCAUUAUUUUUUCUCCCCUUUCCCCUGGCUAAUUUAGAAGUUCUGUUAUUUUUCCAUUUGGCUUGUCAUUACCUCCCAGUCCCUGACACUCAUGAUCAAAUGCAUGUCUUUUAUUUUUGUAGUAAAUAAAAAGAUCUAAAUGUUCUUCCAUUCCCCCCACAAAUUAUGCACAUGUUGUCACGGAGAGAUGGUCUCUCCCAGCUACACCUGGAUGGGUAGGGGAGGGUGGCAGGCAAGCAGCGUGGGCUUGGACCUGAGAGUGGGACUUCAAAGGCCCCAUCAGAGUCCCUGUCUCCAUGGACGGACUAGAGCUGACAGUUGCCGGUUACUGACACCCAAAACCCCGCUUUUAAAGCUGGAGAUGCCUCUUUCGAGACUUGAUGCACCUGUCAUCAGACCCCUUGGAAUUGGCCAGAUGGGGGCUGAUUUAGGAGGAAGAGAUUAAAGAGGCUGCUCCAGGACACUGAGAAGGGAACAGAAGAAGUAGGGAAAUGUGCUGAGGGAAGCUGAGGGGGUGACGCGUGACUGUGGGGCUCCUCUGCCUGGUAAAAAUCUCUACAGAAGCUCCCCACAUCAAAACCUGACAGGGCACUGGGCAGGUUGAAUUCUGGGGGCCUCAGCACUCACAGGGAGAAGGUAAAGGCAUGAAGGGGAAGAGGACCCUUGAGGGUCUGGGCCAGGGAAAGGGCAAUGGUGAGGAUGCAGUGGAAACAGAGGUAGAUGAAGGGGCCCUGCUGGGGAGGCAUGACUGACUGAGCUCCACACCCGGGGCCUUCCUGCCACAGAGGAGGUCGGAUUUUGACCGGGGAGGACAGGACCCUGGGUCUUGUGCAAGUGUUUCCUCCCAGGGAGCAUCAAAGUCUGGGGUGGUCAAGUCAGCCUCGGAUUGGGAGUGGGAGGCCCAUUCACCCUGGGCCCUCAGCUGGGCACUGCUCAUUUAGGAGGUCGAGUCAGAGCCUAAGUGGGACUCUCCAUGCCCCCUGGGCAUGAUGGACCCUCCAGCUCUGGCCAGAUUCCUCUAGAGACCCAAGAUCUUAGACCCUGGCACACCCUAAGGGACUGUGAGGGUCAGGGGGCACCCUUCCUCAGGGUCUGCAAAGGGUUCUAUGAAAAGGAAAAAAAUCUUAGCUAUCUACGAUUACCUAAGACUAUCUCAUAUUGAGUCCAUGCAGAGUGUUGGGGACACAGAUGGGAAUAAGGUGCAUGCUGAAGGAGGCCGUGGGCUCCGGGGUCUGACAACGGGGGGGAAGCAGGAAGAGGGCUACUAACUCUCAUCAGCUAAGCGCUGACGACGUGACAGGUGCCGUGAUGUAUGAUAAUCCUUCCAGCGAGUAUUAUCACUUGUAUAGAGAUGGAAAAAUCAGGGGCUCUUUGUUUGGAUGGCUUGCCCAAGGUCACACACCUGAUCGGUGUGGAGAGUUUAGAUGAAAGCUGGUCCUGUCUGAUUUCACAGCCGGAGUCUUAACCCCUAGGCUCUCCCAAAUUAUUUUGAAUACUCUGGUGGCUGUAAUUUGGAAUCCUGCCCUACACUUUCCAAAGAGUGGGAAAGCAGCCUGAGGAUUGAAUAAACAAAAUAUGGGAUACCCCCUGGGGACAGAGCAAUCUGCUCCCAGCUCACGAGUGCGCAGUGUCACUCGGCUGGUCCCUCUCUUAGGGGAGGUACAAUGAAUCGCUCAGGUUCCUCUGCCCCAAACCAUGGUCAGAAUCCCCACUAACAUUUUCCACACCAGUUCCCCUCCCUCUACCCUAAGCUGCCCUUGCCUCUUCUUUGUUAGGACCACACCGUGUGGGAAAGGCUUGCAAGUGUUAGGGAAAAUUCCCUGAAAGAGCAGACACAUGUCCUUUGAUCAGAUUGUCAAAGGUUUUGAUUCCCUGUUCCCACAGUCUCUUCAUGUCUCUUUUAAAAAAGGCUUUAAAAAUAUAUUUGCUUUGUAGAAAACACAGAUAAAUAGGAAAAUGGAAAGCAUUUAUCUCAUCGCCAACAAAUAACCACUGUCCCUGUUUUGGCAUCUCUUUCUCCCUCUGCCCAAGGAAAGAGUAGGUGUAAGAAACAAAGUUCAAUUGUUGCCUUUGGGGAGGUGGGGAGUUAUAAAGCUAUUACAGUUUUGGUAAGAAGUUCCAGUUGUGUCUGCUGUUUAAGCCAUUGAAGUGUUCAAAUGACUCAACUAUCCUAACUUUGUAAUUUAAAUAACAUAGAAGAUGUGUGUUAAACCUGUAAUCAAUAAGUAAAUGCUCAAGUAAAAAUGUUUUUCAAAAUGAUAUUCAUUAAAUGUCUGAGUUUAAUAAGCCAAGCACGGAGGCCAAUACAGACAGUGCCAAGUGCUGCUUUCCACCAGCACAUGCCCUUUGGACCUGAAGGAGAAGCAAGUUGAAGGAUGUGUGGUGACUGACACCUGGGAGAGGGUGAUGACAGGACAACAUAGAGAAUGCCAGAUAGACCCAGAAGGGACCAGAAACAUGGGAGUGACAGGAGCACAGAUGCUCAGAUGCCUCAGAUGCUUCCGAACAAGGAGCUGCACGGGGGAGGUGGCAGGAUGGCCACCUUUGCUCAGCCAGAACCUCUUUACCCCAGAUGAGGGCAAGAAGAAUGGGUGGGCACGGAGGCAGGAAGAAGCUUGAUAUGAGAGCCUCAGCAUGGAGUGGAGGAGGGAAAGGGUGAAAUGACUUCAUUUCUGGGGAGGACUGAGAGGUGGUAAAUGGGCACCUGCCCCAACCCCCAUGGUCCAGAAAAGUCUGCGAUGGCCCAAGCAAUUAAGAUGAAGAAAAUGAAGCCGGAAGGGCUGGUAAGGGCAGAAGGCUAUACCACUGCCUCCCCACGUCCAGGUUGAAACUGUUCAUGUAGCACCAGGGACCCUACGCGGAGCCUGUGCAGGGAAAUAGGAAGGUAACUGCAACUGGAAGCCACCGCAGGAGGGGCAGAGCCUCGGGGCUGCCACCAGCCAAACCUCCAAGUGGCCCCCAGCGUUUGCAGGGCUCAGCCCAGCGCGAGCCCGGAGGAGGGAUCCGUGCACAGAGCUCCAAGGUCACACAAGUGCAAGGGGGCGGGGCCGCCCAGGAGAGCGGCCACCGGCCAGCGGAACGUCAGCCCAGCCGUUGGUCCGGCCCCUGCAGGGAAGCCCUGGGAUCCCUGUACACCAGCAGCGCCCCAGCCCAUUCGCCGGGAGACCCCCGUUCGAGCCCCCCCUCGCCCCCAGCUGCCGUUGGAAGGCGUUGGCCGCUCCCCUGCCCCCUCCCCGCCUGCCUUCCGUUAAGCUCGCUGCGGGGGUCGAGGUGGGCACAGGCUCGCACACUGCGGCAGGCAGGCCGGCAGGCCAGGAGGCUCUGUAGAUGCGGGGACACGACCACCUAGGCUGUUGCUCAGGCCUUGAACUGUAGCAGAGCCAUAUAUUCUUGUGGUGACAGUGGCCUUAGGAGAAGAUUCUGUAUCUAGGAUGAUUAGGUCGGAGCUGCACAGGCCUUCUUAAAUAAUGCAGCUGGCCUGUGCAGUGGCCUUGGGGGAACCACUGGAACAUUUCAAACCUUGUCCUGGGCAGAAAGUUAUACAGUGGAUGCUAAAUUGGGUGAAAUUUGCAGUUGCACCCAUAAAUACUGAGUUCUGAGUUUCAGCUGCCAGCCUGGCAGAUGACUUCUCUUUUGCUCAAGGCUGAGGGUUUUUAGCCAGCUUUUCUGACUCUAAGAAGGGAGCAGGCAUGCUUCCUGCUCUAAGUGAUCACCUUGGGACUAUGGUCAUCAAUUUAUUGAAGCCUGCAACCAGUCAGGGUCGCACGGACUCAGCCUCUGCACCCAGAUCCCUGUCUCAAGAUAAGCCUAGGGGUCUCUGCCAUCUAGGCCAUUCCUACUUACCUUCUGUUCCUAUCUUUUCCCUAUCAGAGCCCUCUUAUUCUCUCAUCUCUUAGGGGACGAUGUAUUCCUUCUCCCCAUUCUUAGGAGACAGGAAGAAAGCUGUUUCCCAAAAAGACUUUAAAGUCCCUUUGAUGUCAUUGGAGAAGUCACUUAACAAUGUGCUGUUGGGUUCAAGGGGUUAAACAAAAGAAAAUCUCCCUCUGAGACUUCUGUCCCUCGUGGGAGAGUCUGCUUUUCUCUCUCACUAGCACAGGCUUUCUGGCUUGUAGAUUUGAGCACAUGUGUGAGCUCCAACGGGGCUCUGAAGUUUUGUCUGUUAAUGAGGCAAACAUUGGUGGUGUUCCCAAGGAGGAACCCUGAAAUGAUAUUAGACUGGACCUAGGUGUGGGUUCUCCAGAGAUUCUGGGCAUUUUGGAACUGAGGGGGUGUUUUUCCUGAGGCCAGAACUGGGAAAGUGAAGUAGAUACUAACUGGGGUGGAAAGGCUGCCUUGAAAGUCCUGUGGGCGGGGCACUCUUAAAACCUAUUUUAAAAUAGGCUAAGCCUGCGUAUGGGUGUUCAUGUCCAUGGUGGUAGUGGUUAGAAAAGACUUACCACAGUCCUCACAGACCCAAAGGAAAAGAGGGUGGGACAUCACUGGAUAGUCAUUCCUGACCUAAGGGACACGUGUGAAAUUAGAGGAAGAUUGCUCUUCAUUUCUCUUCAAUUAGUACUCUGUCUCUUUAAGUGGGCCUGGGGAAUAGAAACAAUAUUGCAGGGACACCUAAACAGCAGUCCAAACAUAAUUCUAAGGGCUGUUAAGAAUUUGGGAUCCAACCUUGAAACUGAAUACCCCUUAGUAUUCAGGAUCUGGCAAGUGGUGUCAGAGUAGCUGGAGUCUUUGGUUGAGAAUGAGACAUGAUAUUCAUUAUUAGGCAGGUGGUCCCUAUGAAUGGCAUUCCCCAAUAGGAAGGACACUAGAUGUACAAUGUCAGUUAUACAUCUACAUUCUAAACUGGAAAAGUCUUUUCUGGUUAUUUGCUUCUUUGACCUCUUAGCUCUCCCGUCCAUUUUAGCAUCACCAGAGUGCCUCCAGUUAGCCUGUGCUGUUUGUCCCCAAAUCGAAAACCAUACCUUCUGUGCUGCUAGGCUAGGUGGUAGGGAGGGCUAGAUUCUAGUGGGAAACUGGGAUUUUGGAUUUGUAAGUCUCCUAAGUUUUGUUCCCUCCUCCAAUUGUGAGAUCAUCUGAGGAGGCCCAAAACCUUUGGAAUCCAGAUUUGGAGCUGGGAAGAGGGAGUUUGCAGAGAUACCAGCCCCGGGGGACACUGCAUUAUGGUCAGGAAGUGGGGGAGGGACAUGAGGCACGUGACAGUGGUGCUGAGCAAGGACUCUUCCCCAGCCUCAGGGUGCUAGCUGGGGCCUUUGCUGUCACUCAUAUAAACAGGGCCUGCGGUGGCCUCCUGGGAGCAGUGUGCUGACAGACAAAGUGCCAGGUGUUCCCAUGCUGAGCAAGGAUACAUACAUACCCUUGAAAGGGUCAGUUUCUAGGUUGAUGGUAACUGGAAGAGCUUUUGCGGUAACUUUGAAGAAGCUAAAGAAUAGGUUAGAAAACAUAUAAAUAGAAAUUUCUUGUCCUUUGUGAUAAGGGAAAAAGGAAUUAAUGGCUUCUUUUUGCUGGGCCCGUGGGCUUGGGUUUGUGGGCCUCCUCCUCUUAGCUAUUUCCCCUUUCAUCAUUUUGUGGCAUCCCUCUUUUCAGCAUUACUUGCCUUUUCACUUCCCUUGGGUCUGGUGAUCCUCACCAUAAAGGAAGCCAAGAAGAAUGACGAAACUAGAGCAAGCAAAGGAGAAACCAAGAACGUUAUAGAGAAUAAAAGUGUUAGGGAAGUUAGGCUGCAGCAACAGAGAGAGGAGAAACAUAAGGGGGAAAAAAGUAGAAGAAACACUGAUUUAGGUAGAGGUUGUACAAAAGGAAAGAUAAAUGAAUAUUGAGGAAAGGGCAAAGGCUAAGGGGAGGGGCGACGGCAAAGGAAGAAACACACAAGAAACCCACAGAACAGGAAACAGGAAACAUCCCUUCCUGUGCUUCAACUUUCCUUCUUUCCUCCCUCCUUUCCUUCCUGUAAAUGCGGAGUGCUGACUACAUGCCAGGCACUGUCUAGGUACUGGUGAUAAAAGAUGAACAUGAGUCCUUCUGUGCUCUAGAAGAGCUCGUAUGUAGAGGGGAGAUAAUGUCAUGGUUGCCUGUAGGGCGUGGGGUGAGAAGUGGCGUUCCGAGUACUCCCUUUUCUGUGUUUAAGAAAAGGGAGGCCCCCAGAAUGGGUCCUGAAGUCUUCUUGUAAUUGCUCUUGGGCUGAGGGUGGAUGACAAGCUGUUGUGUAUGGUCUAAGGAUACGUGGCUUCCCUCCUUCCCCCGGGUGGGAACCCGGGUUAUGGUGUUACAGUCACUAUUCUGAAGUGAGUCAGGGAUAGGACGCUUCCUGUGUCCUGGCGCCAUACCCGCAGGCACGGUGUGACGGGCCGUAUUCUCUCCUCUCCUCUCCUUGAAGUACCUCUGUGCUGUUGUGAGUGGUUCAGUUGCGACUCACCUCAGGCUCUCGCUUGCCUGUCAUGCUGUGUGAAAAAUGGAGGAGAAGGGAGUUGUGAGAAAUUUGGAAAAUGCAAAGGAAGAAUGAAGAAGCAUCCUUAUCCCCAAAUGACCACAAAGAAGCUGAAGAAAAACAUUUUGGUAUCCGAUUUAUGGGUCCCCGAAGUCCAGAGAGCCCGAAGACCCCUCUUGUAGAAGAGGCUACCACUAUGUGAAGGGUGGGUUAAGGGUCUUUGCUGAAGCUGGGGGGCCUUCUGAGGGAGUCAGGGUUUGCUGUAUGAGUAGGUUUGGUUUUACAAAGCAGACAUUGAAAAGUAGCUGUGGGUUUCCAGAGUUUGAGGGGGGUAGAUUGGUAGGUUAUGAUGGGAUCCGGAAACCCUUUCCUACGUGGUCUGUUUUUAAGGUGUUCAUUUCUGCUGAAGAUAAUUGGCAAGGGCCUUAAGGUUGCCUGGCCAGAGUCCCCAAGACCCUGGAACUAAGGCACUGGCUGGGUAGACACUCUGAUACAUACAUACAAAGCUGGGUGAAGGAAAUUGGCUCUAUUACUGUCAUUUUACCAAGCAUUUUGAAGAGUGCUUUUUGUACUAAGGUAGCACAGUGGUGGACAGUGCUCUCAUUUGGAUAGAUAGGUUCGUUUACUAAAACAACAGCACCACCAUAGUUUUCUCAUUUGCUGUGGACCGUUGAAAACUUUCAAAAACCUGCCACAGUCCUUGGACAGCAUUCAAUUUCCACUGAUCCAGCCCAGAAACAAUGGCAUGAACUUCCCUCUCUUCAUGUCUUUGAGCAGAUGGCCAAAGAAGGUUCUGGGUCAUGAAGAAUAUGACCAGAGACUUUGUGGAGAUUCUGAAAUCUCUGGCUUACGGGUUGAUUAGGGUUUCUCACCCCACCUUUCCCUAUUGGAGGUGUUUCUCUAUGGCCAUUUAUCAGGUUUCCAAGCAUCUUAAUCUUUAGGUGAAGUUUGGAUGUUUGUUUUCUGGCUCUCAGAUUCCCGUUUUGGUGUAUGUUCUGCCUUUUUGAAAAUGUUUUUGGGUCCCCUCCCAGCUAACUUUCAGCUCUUUGGGAAAAGAGCCAAAUUAUUCAUGACUAUGGUGAAAACAGAACCAAAACCAAACCUGUGUGUCUUGCAACUUCUGGCAUCUGCUUUCGUUUUGUUUUGUGUUCCUUCGAAUGGUGUUUGUUGUCUGGACCCCAAAGCCUGCAAUUCUAAGGACAUCCUUUCUCGUAUCCCUGCCCGGGAAUGAUGCUCGGGGAGUGUGUCCACACAGCUCACUGGGCUCUGUUCUGUAGCCUCUCAUAGUCCCCUCUUUGUUGAAAGGGCUUGCCAAUGAGUCUUCCCUCGGUAGGAUCUUAAUUCCCAAACUGAGCACAUUACAUGUAAAGAUGUUUUGAUCAAGGAACAAAAAGCCCAUCUUCUAGUCCUGGCACUGCAACUAUAAGCUGUGUGAACUUUGGCAAGUCUCCAAACUUCUUUGGGUUGUGGUUUCCUUGUGGGUAAAACUGGGGUAUUAAUACCUACCUCACAGGGUUGUUGUGAGGAUUAAACGUGCUCUGUAAUCUGUCAUAUAAAUGUUGGCAAAUUUUUGUUAGGAUUUAAGAGCUAUUUUAAAGUUGUCCCUGACCACAUGGCAGAUAGGCUGAUUUCUGCUAUCAGAGCAAGGGUUUUCACAGUCAUGUACUGCAUGGUUAAUUCACUGGAGCAAAAUUUUAUGUUUCUGUGGAAAUAUUUUUGUGUGGAGAGGGUCCAUAAGUUUCAUCAGUUUCCUAAAGAGAGUUCAUUGCACUAAAAAGUUAAGAAUCAGUGCUUCAUAACUGGAAAGUUGGAUUUAGUAACAGAAGUAAAUGUAUUGCUUGCAGAAGGUCCCUCUUAACACAUCUGCAGUAGCAGUUGCAAUGUUAGAUAGUGAAAUUCUUAAUGUGUCCUGAUGACCGUACAGGACAUUUGAAAUCGGGAUUCAAAAUCUUGGACACAUGGUCAUGGCAGUCAUUUGAUUAUUCAGUUGCCUAAUAUGGUGGCAAUGGUGGAUGUAGAAUUAACUACAUUGUCCUACGGUAGUCACCUUACCUCAUGGAAUCUGUUACCUCCUUUGUAAAGUAAUGGAUUUGACCUUGAAGAUUUCCAAAGUUCCUAGGUUGAAUUCUCUAGGAAAGAGAGAUCAAAACUGGACUUGGAUGGAGACCGACUGUGGCAGAAAUGAAUCAAGUUUUGUGGAGGAGGAAAAAGAGGGAGUGUCAGAGCAAGGAGGCGGGCAGAGCAUCCAAGGAGCUCAUCCUGGAUAAAGGUGGGAAAAGCAGGCCUGCAGAGGUGAAGGGCCCGGUAACUGGGGCAGGAAGACAGCUGGUGGGCUACUUAAGAGCCAAGACUUUGAUGGACCAGAGGCUCAACCUCCACCUUUCACCGUGGGACGGACUUGCCAGAACCCAGGCUCCCUGAGCAAACACAUCGUCUUCCUCGCAUGCACAGAACUUCCGGUUCUCAGGGGAACAAAUGCCUGCAGUCUUCCCACUUUCUACGUCAGGAGGUUUGCUUACUUCUGGAAAAUGCUGCUUUUCAGGUGCCUUAAAACGCAGGAUUCAAAACCUUACGAGUGAGAAGGGCUAGAAUAUUUUAGAGAGGAAGAAAGAGACAAGAAGUAUGAAACUAAAGAAACUAAGAACUAGGUCCCAUCCAGGAGGUUUUUGUGUAGACGAUGAAUGGACACCAACUAGAGACACUGUGCACGAGGCCCCCAUGAUGUGAUGUUUGGCUUCUCCUGAUGGGGAGGGCAGAUGUGGUCAAGCACAGGAUGUUUGGGUUCCGUCGUGUGAGUUUGCUUUGAAAUUGUGCAUCUUCACUUAAGAAACAAGUGGCACACCCAGCACCAAGUGUGUAAAUGUCUUACUGAAACCUUCCUGAGGUGUGUGCUGUCUCACAACAUAUAUACUUCAAAGUAAUCGCAGGGCAUUAUAAUAAAGUAUACUUCUGGUGA